UACGGAGGGUGCAAGCGUUAUCCGGAUUCACUGGGUUUAAAGGGUGCGUAGGAGGGCAGGUAAGUCAGUGGUGAAAUCCCCGAGCUUAACUUGGGAAUUGCGCUCGAAACUACGGAGCUGGAGUGUGGCAGAGGAAGGUGGAAUUCCACGUGUAGCGGUGAAAUGCGUAGAGAUGUGGAGGAACACCGAUGGCGAAGGCAGCCUUCUGGGCCAACACUGACGCUCAUGCACGAAAGCGUGGGGAGCAAACAGG
rnacentral:rRNA from 1 species